GACGAACGCUGGCGGCGUGCUUAACACAUGCAAGUCGAACGAUGAAGCUGGAGCUUGCUCUGGCGGAUUAGUGGCGAACGGGUGAGUAACACGUGAGAAAUCUGCCCUUGACUCUGGGAUAACUGCGGGAAACUGUAGCUAAUACCGGAUACUUUCCCUGGUGGGCAUCCACUGGGGAAGAAAGAAUUUCGGUCAAGGAUGAUCUCGCGGCCUAUCAGCUUGUUGGUGAGGGAAUGGCUCACAAAGGCGACGACGGGUAGCCGGCCUGCGAGGGUGACCGGCCACACUGGGACUGAGACACGGCCCAGACUCCUACGGGAGGCAGCAGUGGGGAAUAUUGCGCAAUGGGCGCAAGCCUGAUGCAGCAACGCCGCGUGAGGGAUGAAGGCCUUCGGGUUGUAAACCUCUUUUAGCAGGGAAGAAGCGAAAGUGACGGUACCUGCAGAAAAAGCACCGGCUAACUACGUGCCAGCCGCCGCCGUAA
rnacentral:rRNA from 1 species